rnacentral:tRNA from 1 species
GGCGAGUAUAGCUUAAUUUGGAAAAAGCAACAGACUGUGAAUCUGAAGACUACGAGUUCAAAUCUCGUUUCUCGCCU